GCCUCGAUCCCAGGCCGAGUUUUCGCUUUUAUAACGGUUAGGCGAACAACUGGGCCUGGUACUAGUUGUCUGCGCAUGCGUCAGUCGUUCGUCAGAUUCUGACGAAUGGAUAUUCUCGUUCACUUUCGUGACAUUUAUAUUCGUGUACUAUCGUGUACUAGAAGUCAGUUCCCGUUUUAUCAUUAUUGGAAUCGAUUGGAAUGGCUCUUAGCUGAAGCUUCUCUCUUCUCUGAAGCUUAUUCUGAAGACUGAACAACAAGGGAAGAGGUAUAAAGCUUUGUCAAGCUUGUUAAGGUCAGAUAUUUUUGUGUGGGCCCUAUGGCUAUGCUAUCAAGUCUUGUUCAUGUUUGGCAAGAUCUACCGGUACGUAGGUAGACUAUAGUUUCAUCAUUAAUAUGGUGGAUCAAGUGAAGAGUGUGAGCUAGAGAACUUGGUGCUGCCAUCAUCAGCUCGUCGACAAUGACACUAUAACCGAGAAAUUUAAUAUGUAUAGAUCUACACGUAUUUAAAAUGUCUACUUCUCUGUACAGGAUCUAGGAGCAAUGGUUAAUAUCCAGCUAUCCCAACAGUGCUCCUCUUGGCUAUACUAACGGACGAGACUGGACAGUUUGAGGAUUGGAGUAUGACCUGCUCAUUCGAGCGUUGCUGGGUAGCUCAGAGACAUCAAGAGAAUCUACGUUUUCUCAAGCAAAAUUUAACUGAGUUACGAGUUGGGGCCUAGAAUCACAGAAGUCCAGCAGCCUGCUAAAUCUUUUUGAAACGUAAUUUGAAGGCAUUCAAUCAUCCUGAAGUUGCCCUGGGUCACUGUAAUUGUGCUGCAGCACAACUGGCAACUCCCCAGGCCUUUGUGAAGCAGCUCCCUAUGUGCAUCUUUUGUGUACUCACUCUGUGCAUUUUCUGUGUACAAAUUUCUAUUAUUGAUUUAUUAAAUAUUUUUGCCGACCACAAA